GUGUAGCCGAAGUCCAUAUGAGUCUUUGUCUUUGUAUCUUUUAACAAGGAUACAAUAGUUAGGCUUUUAAGAUCUGGUUGCGA
rnacentral:pre_miRNA from 1 species